GACUUGAUGAUGUGGACAUUUACGUAAGAGGUCCUUAAAAUGCUCCUAGGUCUCAAAAAAGAGUUCCUUAUCCAUCUGUGAGAAACUCGUGAUGGUUCUCCAAAGCU